rnacentral:rRNA from 1 species
GAUGAACGCUGGCGGCGUGCCUAAUACAUGCAAGUCGAGCGAACGGACGAGAAGCUUGCUUCUCUGAUGUUAGCGGCGGACGGGUGAGUAACACGUGGAUAACCUACCUAUAAGACUGGGAUAACUUCGGGAAACCGGAGCUAAUACCGGAUAAUAUUUUGAACCGCAUGGUUCAAAAGUGAAAGACGGUCUUGCUGUCACUUAUAGAUGGAUCCGCGCUGCAUUAGCUAGUUGGUAAGGUAACGGCUUACCAAGGCAACGAUGCAUAGCCGACCUGAGAGGGUGAUAGGCCAGACUGGAACUGAGACACGGUCCAGACUCCUACGGGAGGCAGCAGUAGGGAAUCUUCCGCAAUGGGCGAAAGCCUGACGGAGCAACGCCGCGUGAGUGAUGAAGGUCUUCGGAUCGUAAAACUCUGUUAUUAGGGAAGAACAUAUGUGUAAGUAACUGUGCACAUCUUGACGGUACCUAAUCAGAAAGCCACGGCUAACUACGUG